rnacentral:lncRNA from 10 species
GGCUCCACCCCCACGGACCUAGGUGAGGACAGGCACUCCUGCUUUCGCUCCCAAAUGUUGCAUUUUCCAAGACCACCCUGUCCCGUCAUGCCCUCAUCCUGGGCCUAUAAAAACCAGAGACCCUAGCGGGCACACAGGCAGCCAGAUAUUGAGAGGAACACUUUGGCGGAAGAAGACACGAGUGGCUGGUCGAGAGCACGCUGGAGGAAGAGCCCACCGACAGACGUCAGCAUGCUGGCACACCAUCAACAGGCCUGGCAGAUAUUCGUAAACCACAAUCCUUGCAUCAGGAAUCCUACAGGCUAGUGUGAAGUGAGACAGAUAAACAGAUAAUGUUAUUUGUUUGGCAGUAACACCUAACCACAACGGGCACAUCGGAGUUGAACUUGGUGCUUCUGAGAAGCUAAUUUUAAGUUCCUGUGCAUGGUCUGAACAUUUGCCGGGCCCUAAAACUGCAUCUCAAUAUUGGCAGCCCCUUCCAAGUCUCCGGAAGGUAUUUUGAUUCAAAGGAAGCUCUGUUUGGACCGGAUGGUCUGGUGCUGGCCAUUUUCAUUGCACAGUGAGGCAUAAACUGUGCUAAGAGACUCGGGACAGACUGAGCAGUGAUGAGAGCACCAGCAGGGCCAGAGCACUGCAGACCCCCUUCAAGAUGAAAGCAAGAGAAUUUGAAAAGUCUAGAAAGAAGCUAUUUUGCAUUUAUCAGUUUGCAGAGCUCUCUGAACAUUCAGCUCAUUUCGUCCUCCUGCCACCUGGCCCUGGGAGCUGCAGCUGCAUCUAUGAUGCCCAUCUAGACUCCACCAGGCUGCAGCGCCACCUGUCUGCAGAACAGAGCUGCAGAGAUGACUACCACUGAUAAGAAUGCAUCUGUGACCACCUAGGGAUGCCCAUUCUGUCCCAGACACUGCGCUAGCACUUGAUGCACACAUGACCUCAUUUUCUUCACAACUACCAUAUAAGAUGGGGGUCUCAUCAGGUUGCACAAGCUGAUCUCAAACGCCUGGCCUCAAGUGAUCCUUCUGCUUUGGUCUUCCAAGGUGCUAGGAUUACAGUUACAGAAUCCCUGCUAUUUAGCUGGGCACGUGACUGCCUGGAACAGACCACGAUCCCUGGCUCCAAGGCAGCUACAUCCACGACUAAGUUCUUGCAAUGGCAUGUAAGUAAAAGUGAUAUGGGCAGCUUCUGGGAGGUGUCCUUACAAUGCAAGGGACUUGCUCUUCAUCCUUGACCUCCUUCCUGAUGGCUGGAAAGUGGAUGUGAAGGCUGGACCUGAAGUGGUCCCCUUGGAUCAUGACUUUGGAGAUGAAAGCCUGAGUGGAGCACAGAGAGAGAGGAGCCUGGGUCUCAGACCCUGCAGCCCUGGAUUAUCUACCUCCAGACUUGCAGAGUGAGAAGUGAGUGGACUGGGAGUGACCAACAAUCAGGAACUGUGUUCUGCUCAACUCUGCAAUCCCAGCAAAGGACCUGCCACAGACCUCCGUAUAAAAUUGUCCAAUGGAUGACACAACUGAAAACAGGGAGAUUGUAUGGGUAUGUGGCCUGGGAUGGCAGCAGAUGUACCCACCCCCUGCCUAGCAAAGUCUUCUGGAUGUCUGCUUUGAGGGUGAGCAGCAUCAAUGCCUUUCAGUUCAUCUGGAGACCACAGGAUCAGUAAGAGCUGACUGCAAAGUGGGUAUUGAUCCAAGAUUCCCCUUGGACCUUUGGUUUCUCACUGUCUUCAUCUGUCACCCAGUGGGAGCAACAAAACUUUGCUCAUAAAAAUUCCAAACUCCUUGGAGAGUAGUUUUAUAAAUGUAGGUACCUGAGGCUGCUUCUCUGCCUCCCCCGACAUUCCAUCAGGAACCAUGGAUGCUCUCACGUUCCUGGCUUCCUCCCACCCCCAUUCAUCCAAAAGAGGCUCUAGAGUGAUUCAGUUCUCCCUCAGAGAGCCCUGGCUGGAGCUGGGGCCCUCGGACUCACCCUCCAUCAAAGGGGUUCUCCCCGGGGAUUAUGUGCGUGCUGUCCCUGCCCACGAGGAACUUGAUGCGGUCAUAGAAGGAGUGUAGGUUCUGCUGUGACACAGGGACCUGUGUCUCCUGGAUGAUGUCCAGAGGGUUAGGGGAGCCAAGGCACAGCGGGUUGAUAUGGCACAGGGGCUGGAGGCAGCAGUCAGGGUCCAUGCAGUCCACCAGGCCAUCUGCAGGAGU